GGGAAACAAACGCGUCACAGUUCGAAGCGAGAACUGUUUUGCUUCGACGAGACAUCGACUCCUUUGUGCAGGACACUGCGCGAGGUUUAUAACGUCGAUAGAUCCACAAAGGACAGUAUCAUGAGGCCGUUAGGUGACUUGCCUCCGAUAUGGGCCGUAUUGCACGAACUUAUUAACUUCACGAAGCAUAAAGGCCUCUCUCGCACGCCGGUCCACCAUCUAUACGUAACAUGAUGGUGUCGCGUAUACCUCCUGGCAAACGCGCAGCCCGCCUUCGAAAAUUCGCGAAACGUCGGCGGAUUAUGAAAUCGAGCAACGACUCCAUAGAAACGAAAUUUUCCAAGAAAUUAAAGUCCAAGUAUUUCGAUAUAGAAUGUCAUGCAAAGGGAUAAUCAUGUUAAUUUAAAUGAAAAAUAAUGGGGAGUAAGGAGCAGGAACUUUGGGGAGAAGUCGAAAUGUUUUCUCAAAUAUCAAACUGGUCUUUUUAAUUUCAGAGAUACA
rnacentral:misc_RNA from 1 species